CCCUACAGCCAAGGGUUUAAGGAGCCUAGCCUAGCCUGGGUGUUAAUUGUUUUGUCAAUCUGCAGUUAUUUGCAGAAAGAAUUUUUUUAAAAAGGGCCUCCACAGACUCAAGGUCCUCAAUCCUCUUUUGGAGAAAUAAAAGAGAGCCACUCUGUCCCCUAGGCAUUGACAGCCCCACAUUCAAGCAGUGGGAGUUUGUGCCUGGGGUGAGGGAUAAGUUGAUGGAGACUUUAGAAGAAUGCUAGGUAGCAAGGGUUCUCAGUGUUUUGAAGGCCAGGUAAGCCACGGUUCCUUCCCCCUAAAAAUGAAUACUCAAGUUCCCAAAAAUUUCAGUGUAAGGAUCCUCUGAAACCCGACCCAAGGAUCCAGGGUUAUACCCGUUUAAGAACUAGGUUUCAACCCUUGCUGGAGCCCCCAUCCAUUGUCCUCUUAACCUAGAGGGAGAAAGCCCUCCACUAGCCAGCAACCAACCGCCUGGGUCUCAUAACACACUGGUUCUCCUCACUAACGUUGCACCGCCCACCCCCUCAGGUUUUUGAACUUGGGGCGGGGAGGGGGGGGGUAGGAGUAACUGAGGGAUCAAAAAUGUGCUUUGAUCUCCCGUCCAUCGCCCCCAUAGCCCCAGGCCUGCCAGCUUGGGACACUGUCCCCCUCAAACUCCCCCCAGUGACCUAGCAUCCCAGGCCCCAGACGCUGGGGGCGGGGUGGUUCCCGUACGUGAUGGCCCCAGCCCAGGUGUGCCAGGGCCCAGUUUCCAGGCAGGCUACAAGGGCGCAGGCCCUCCGGGAAGAGCAGGGUUAAGAGUGCAUUCCAGCUGCCGAGGAAGAAGGGGGGCGGGGUAGGGAAGCUCGGAGAAAAGAAACAGACCCGGUCUGUCUGUCGGAGACACAAAGCACGGUUCACAAAGGGGGCCCGAGAGGGGCGAAGGGGGCUGCCCGGGGCACGGCUCAUCCCCACACCUGCGCGCGGGUUGGGGGAAGAAUGUGGCCGGCGCAUUCCUCUGCUGGGGCCAGCGGGGGAGAACUUCCCACGUCGAGACUGGGUGAGGGGCUCAGCCAUCCGGCAUCUCGGAGGAGGGGGUCAAGGUAAGCAGUGGCUACCGGACAAGGGGCUGGAUGUCAUAGGCGCUCUGCUGCCCAGCCUUCUCCGUCAGCCACCACCCCCAAUCCCAGCCCCCGAGGCGCGUUCUGCGCCUCCCCGGGAACUGAGGUGGCGCCAGGAGUCCCUUGCCCCGGCCCGAACACCCCUCGCGCGGUCCACACCAAAAUGGUCACGUGCGGCCCCUACCCUGCGGUUCCACCCUGAGGAUCUUACCUUUCCCCAGCGCCUGGCCGGGCUCCUGCUCCGCGCCUCCCGCCUCCAAGGUCACUUCAGCCUCCCUGAAGACCGCCCGGCACGGCUCGGAGGCCGCGCACUGCAGCCAGCAAACCUGCGCCCGAGGGCAGAGAGUGAAGGAGGCUGGGUCCAGGCGUGCCCGGCCCUGCACUCCCCACACCGCAGGGUCCUCACGGGCCUUCCGGGACUCCCUUGGCCCCAGGGAGCGCAGCCCCGCGCUCUCCCCGACGCCACUGCCCCAUGCGGACCCCGCCCGCCCCCCAGGGAGCGGUCCCGGUCGGGGCCACGGCGAGGCUGUGGAGUACCUGGAGAAGGAGGAGAGACGCGAGAGGUCCACGAGGGAGCCCCAUGGCUGCAGAGAGAGGGGUGAAGCAGCUGCCGCGACGGCGGGCCGGUGUUCCGCUCAGCUCUUGCCCCUUUGAGCACCGCAGCCCCCGGGAGCCAGCGGGAGGAGGCCAGGGACUCAGCCUCUGUCUCGCAGUUCUGGGUUAGAGGAGAAAAGAACACCCAGUGCACUCCUCAG
rnacentral:lncRNA from 1 species